UACGUAGGGUGCAAGCGUUAAUCGGAAUUACUGGGCGUAAAGCGUGCGCAGGCGGUUUUGUAAGUCUGUCGUGAAAUCCCCGGGCUCAACCUGGGAAUUGCGAUGGAGACUGCAAGGCUAGAAUCUGGCAGAGGGGGGUAGAAUUCCACGUGUAGCAGUGAAAUGCGUAGAGAUGUGGAGGAACACCGAUGGCGAAGGCAGCCCCCUGGGUCAAGAUUGACGCUCAUGCACGAAAGCGUGGGGAGCAACAGGAUUAG
rnacentral:rRNA from 1 species